GACGAACGCUGGCGGCGUGCUUAACACAUGCAAGUCGAACGGUAAGGCCCCUCGGGGUACACGAGUGGCGAACGGGUGAGUAACACGUGGGUGAUCUGCCCUGCACUUCGGGAUAAGCCUGGGAAACUGGGUCUAAUACCGGAUAGGACUCCUGGCUUCAUGGUUGGGGGUGGAAAGCUUUUGCGGUGUGGGAUGGGCCCGCGGCCUAUCAGCUUGUUGGUGGGGUAAUGGCCUACCAAGGCGACGACGGGUAGCCGGCCUGAGAGGGUGACCGGUCACACGGGAGCUGAGAUACGGCCCAGACUCCUACGGGAGGCAGCAGUGGGGAAUAUUGCGCAAUGGGCGCAAGCCUGGUGCAGCGACGCCGAGUGAGGGAUGACGGCCUACGGGUUGUAAACCUCUUUCAGCUAUGACGAAGCGCAAGUGACGGUAGUAGCAGAAGAAGGACCGGCCAACUACGUGCCAGCAGCCGCCGUAA
rnacentral:rRNA from 1 species